rnacentral:rRNA from 1 species
UACGGGGGGGGCAAGCGUUGUUCGGAAUUACUGGGCGUAAAGGGCUCGUAGGCGGCCAACUAAGUCAUACGUGAAAUCCCUCGGCUUAACCGGGGAACUGCGUCUGAUACUGGAUGGCUUGAGUUCGGGAGAGGGAUGCGGAAUUCCAGGUGUAGCGGUGAAAUGCGUAGAUAUCUGGAGGAACACCGGUGGCGAAGGCGGCAUCCUGGACCGAUACUGACGCUGAGGAGCGAAAGCCAUGGGAGCAAACGGG